CGGGACACGUGGUAUCCUGUCUGAAUAUGGGGGGACCAUCCUCCAAGGCUAAAUACUCCUGACUGACCGAUAGUGAACCAGUACCGUGAGGGAAAGGCGAAAAGAACCCCGGCGAGGGGAGUGAAAAAGAACCUGAAACCGUGUACGUACAAGCAGUGGGAGCACGCUUAGGCGUGUGACUGCGUACCUUUUGUAUAAUGGGUCAGCGACUUAUAUUCUGUAGCAAGGUUAACCGAAUAGGGGAGCCGAAGGGAAACCGAGUCUUAACUGGGCGUUAAGUUGCAGGGUAUAGACCCGAAACCCGGUGAUCUAGCCAUGGGCAGGUUGAAGGUUGGGUAACACUAACUGGAGGACCGAACCGACUAAUGUUGAAAAAUUAGCGGAUGACUUGUGGCUGGGGGUGAAAGGCCAAUCAAACCGGGAGAUAGCUGGUUCUCCCCGAAAGCUAUUUAGGUAGCGCCUCGUGAAUUCAUCUCCGGGGGUAGAGCACUGUUUCGGCAAGGGGGUCAUCCCGACUUACCAACCCGAUGCAAACUGCGAAUACCGGAGAAUGUUAUCACGGGAGACACACGGCGGGUGCUAACGUCCGUCGUGAAGAGGGAAACAACCCAGACCGCCAGCUAAGGUCCCAAAGUCAUGGUUAAGUGGGAAACGAUGUGGGAAGGCCCAGACAGCCAGGAUGUUGGCUUAGAAGCAGCCAUCAUUUAAAGAAAGCGUAAUAGCUCACUGGUCGAGUCGGCCUGCGCGGAAGAUGUAACGGGGCUAAACCAUGCACCGAAGCUGCGGCAGCGACGCUGAUGCGUUGUUGGGUAGGGGAGCGUUCUGUAAGCCUGUGAAGGUGUGCUGUGAGGCAUGCUGGAGGUAUCAGAAGUGCGAAUGCUGACAUAAGUAACGAUAAAGCGGGUGAAAAGCCCGCUCGCCGGAAGACCAAGGGUUCCUGUCCAACGUUAAUCGGGGCAGGGUGAGUCGACCCCUAAGGCGAGGCCGAAAGGCGUAGUCGAUGGGAAACAGGUUAAUAUUCCUGUACUUGGUGUUACUGCGAAGGGGGGACGGAGAAGGCUAUGUUGGCCGGGCGACGGUUGUCCCGGUUUAAGCGUGUAGGCUGGUUUUCCAGGCAAAUCCGGAAAAUCAAGGCUGAGGCGUGAUGACGAGGCACUACGGUGCUGAAGCAACAAAUGCCCUGCUUCCAGGAAAAGCCUCUAAGCAUCAGGUAACAUCAAAUCGUACCCCAAACCGACACAGGUGGUCAGGUAGAGA
rnacentral:rRNA from 1 species